rnacentral:lncRNA from 1 species
AAGUUCGUCCCUUUUCUUUAUAUUUUAAACAAAAAUAAAUAAAAAUAAAAAGAAACUCUAUAGAAAAAAUAAGAUAUAUGUAUAUAUGAAACAAAAUAAAAGAAUGAUAAUCUCAAUGAGGUAAAAACCAGAGAGAAAGAAAACCUUUGUCUUUCAAAAAGAAAAAUCUAUUUGCCUAGAAAACCUUUGUCUUUCAAAAAGAAAAAUCUAUUUGCCUUUGAAUUUCUUUCGGUCUUUUCUCCCCCCCAAAAUACAGAUUUUAAUCGGCUUUAUAUAGCCGAUUAACACCCCAAAAUCUGAAAAAAAAUCAAAAGACCCCGCUCCUUUCUGUUAUUUGUUGCGCUUGUGUUCCCCCUUUUUCGCAGGUUUGGUGACCGUGGAAGCGCGCGACGAGUGCGGAGCGACGAGUGCGGCGUGUGGGCGCUGUUGCGGCG